CUGGUUGAUCCUGCCAGUAGUCAUAUGCUUGUCUCUUUCUAAUUCGGUACGUACAGAUUCAUGUUCGGAUUAAUUCCACUUUGGCGCUUACCGAGUAAUUUAGUGUGGAUUAUAUGACCUAUAAGAGUCAAUGAACCUAUUGACCGGUAAUUCUGGAGCUAAUACAUGCGAAAAAAUCCCGAACUUACGUNAUAACUGCGGUAAUUCUGGAGCUAAUACAUGCGAAAAAAUCCCGAACUUACGUGAGGGAUGCUUUUAUUAGAUCAAAACCAAUUUAAAAACUUGGUGACUCUGAAUAACAUUUGCAGAUCGCAUGGCUUUACGCCGGCGACGUAUCCUUCUAAGGUGUGCCCUAUCAACUGUCGACUGUGGCAUAGACGCCCACAGUGGUUUUGACGGGUAACGGGGAAUCAGGGUUCGAUUCCGGAGAGGGAGCCUGAGAAACGGCUACCACUUCUAAGGGAGGCAGCAGGCACGCAAAUUACCCAAUGGUCGAAGACCGAGGUAGUGACGAAAAAUAACGAAGCCGGACUCAUCCGAGGCCCGGUUAUCGGAAUGAGUACACUUUACUAUUCAUGUAUAUUUGGCACAAACUAUAGCGAGUAUU
rnacentral:rRNA from 1 species